GCGGAGGUGGUAAACGGGUGAAGGCGGAGGAGGGAGUGCCUGCGAACAGGCAACACAUGCCUGGCGUGGUGCCUUGCAGCUGGCGGCGGGUGGGGCCGCCGGGCGGGCGGCUGCUUUCUCCAGUCGACGGAAGAGAUCCGGGCGGGGAGCACCCCGGCCUAGACCCCUUCCCCUGAAAGUCUGCGGGAUCCUGGGGCCGGGUAAGCCAGGUAGAGGCUCCGGGCCCUGUUGCAAACGAACGUUGAGAAUCGCAGAGGAUCAGCCCUCUAGAGUUCUCUAUGUCCAUUACGGGCUCUGUGAUCUCUGGCGAGUCACUUAGUCCAGGCCUCAGUUUCCCCGCUCCUUUAGGGGGCUUGAGACCUGAGAGUGGCCACGAAGAACAGAAAUUUCACGUCACUAUAACUCCUUGCCUAGAUUUUUAUCUGGCACGUGGAGAUCUUCCCCCAAACAGGCGGGCAGGGAAGAAGUGAAGGCCCCAGCACCUCAUCAGCAGGCCUGCACCGAGUGCAGGAAGCAGCGGCAUAGAGAAGAGUGUGGUUGUGAUCUGCCACGGAUUCCCAGGUCUGAUGCUAUAGUUUGGCCAAAUUACUUUACCUUUCUGCAUUGAUAUUUUUUUUUCUUCUGUAAGAUAGGGAUGUACCGGAAGGGAAAAAGGCUAUUUUAAAAAUUUAUUUUAAAAAAAUUUAUGUCAAAUUGGCUAGUGUACAGUAUAUACAAUGUGCUCUUGGUUUUGGGGGGUAGAUUCCUGUGGUUCAUCGCUUACAUACAAUACCUAGUGCUCAAAAACAAAAAAUGCUAUGUUAAAAAGUUGAUUGCCCUUUGAGUAACUAAGGACUAUAGACUUAUAGUCGUCUUUUCUUGGGAUUGUUUGUUUUUUGUUUCUGUUUUGGUUUGGUCAAGGUAAAGGGCUAAUUUAGAUUAGGAGUGGUUGGCACCUAGGGGCUGAAAUAGCUCUGCAUAAAGAAACAAGAAUAAUUUUUUGUUUUUAAUUGAGCCUGGAGGGAAGUUCUCUAGUUUGCUUUUGUUUGGGCAGGAGUGGUGAGAGAGUGGGCCCUAGCAGGAGGGUAGACAGGAGAAGUUGCUCCUCCAGUGGCCGAGAAGGAAGGGGGCGUGAGCUUUGAUGUCUGAUUCUCUAUUUUAAGUAGUUUCCUAUUUGCUGUUAUAAUCUUCAUCUGGUCAAGAUGUGCUCGCAGGACAUCCAGAUGUUCUUGUGUUUUGGAGACUGAGUAGAGAGGGCUGUGUCCACAGUAGGGGUGAAGUGAAAUAGAAGGAGAUGAUGGGAAUUGGGUUGCAGUUGGGGCUUAGGAUCAGAAGUAACAAGGAAUCAUUGGAAACAUUUUAGCAACCUCCCUAGGAUCCUUGAAAUUAUUAAGGAGAGUGCUGGGCCCUAACAGUUAGGUGAGAUCUAGUCUAAAAUAUGAAUUUCAAUGUUCAAGAUAGUAUAAUUUAGGAGCAUGCAGAUGUCAGGGAGAAUAAUCUACUGACCAGGGUUGGGUGGUGUAGAUGUGGAUGUAGGUAAAGGCACUUCAUACACUAGGGAAACAUAUGAUCAUACAGAAGAUAAAAACUCUUGCCAUGAAGAAUAUUUUGAAACGUUAGAUUUGAAUUCAACACUGAUCAUGAAUGCAAGAGUAAUGAUCUGGAAGUCAUGAGCUAUGAUAGUUUUCUUUUUGUAUAAAUUCAGUUGAUUGGUAGUAAAAACACAAUUUGGGUGUUAGAGAUACAGUCUGAAAAAAUGGCUCAGUGUGACCCCAAUGUUUCAUGUUAAAAUGUGAGAAUUUACGAUUUCAUGGUAAUAUCAGGCCCAUUUAGUAGGAACAGAAAGCAGCUUUGGUCAUUUAAUAUUUAGCUGAGACUGUGGAUAGGUAUGAGAAAAAGGAAGUGAUUAUGUUGCAAAGGAACAGGAAAGAGUAUGUAUGAGAUAUAUACUAGACACUCGACAUAUAUUGUUUUUAACGUUCAUUCUUGUCCAAAGAAGUAAAAGUGGCGAUACGUCCAUUCUUUAGAUGGUGGCUGGGGGGAGGUGACAGUUACACUGACUGAAGGAUUUGCUCAAAGUCAUAGCGCUCAAGUGGUAGAGCUGCUGCAGAGACUCCCCAGCGUCCGGGUCCUUGUUUAUCCCACCAUGUUGCCGUGUGGGCUCUGAAUAAAUUCCUGCUUAGCCUCAAGCCUUGUGUGCUUAGGUGCCGCUUUUCCCAGUUUCACACCACAUCUCCGUGGUUUUUCUUUCUGAGAACUUUUACAGAACGCUUCUGACAAGACUUGAUGAGAUGCUACAACUGACAAGCAUGUGAAAAGGGAUGAAAUAACUUGAGGUCUGGAGUGAACAGUUACAUUCCUGGAUUGUUGAAAGUUCGUUCUUUACGUGGGACCAACCAUCUUUGGUGAGAUUCAGAGGAGCAUAUGGACACACCAUCCAUUGGGACGUGACAGAAUGUCAGGCCAAGAAGGAGUUUAGAGAUCACUAAUGCCACUGCUGUAUCUCUAAUGCAGAAAACUGAGCCCUGAAAGGCUCUCCCUCGAGACCUUCCUCCAGCUCUAAUAUCUAACAAUGAAGUCUAAGGUGGGGGAAUCCCACUGAAAUCCUCAACCAUAGGAAACAAGGUCAACUGCAAGAAUUCAAGCACUCUGGAUGGCAUGUAUUAUUAGCUUUUCUGCAUUGAGGCUCAACUGAAGAGGCUGUUCUAAGAAAGACUACUGAGGAAAAACAGACUUGGGAUUUGUCUUUGAACAUACAUACACAGACCUAUACGCCCAUACACCUCACUACUGUAAGGCUGUGGUAUGGAAGCUGCUUCACAUAUAACAAUGUUCCGGCAAACAGUGUUUGUCACGCUACAGGUCUGUAUGCUGCCAAACUCUUGCCUCAAAUGGUUUUCCUUAAGUGUGAUCUGCCUGCUGGCUCCCAGCACCAGGCCAUGGGCCAUGAGGACAGACCUGCUGGCCGGCCCCCACACGACCGCCUUCAGGAGCUUCCUGCUCACCUUGAUCAUUUCUGCCACGUAGCUCUCGGGCCCGGUGUACUCCGUGGAGUCCUUCACUUUCACCAGCACGAUGAAGCACAGAUAGUGCCACAUGUUGUGUUCUUCCUUGAUGUGCUCUUCAAAGGUGACAGUCUUGUUGUCAAACUUGUCUCUUUCCAAGCCUAAGGAGACACAGAAAGCCCCCAACCCCAAGUGAGCAGCCAUGGUCUAGAAAAUCCCGUGAGAGAACUGCCGUAGGGGAAGCUGUGGUUCCAGCUCCCGUCUUGUAAAGAGUUGGAUUCUGUUGGCCUCUACAUGCAUUCCCUUUUAUGUCACAGCAGGAAGACACAGGAUGUGAGAGAGACGGACUUGGGUCUGAGUUCCACCUCUGCCCCUUACCAGUCACUAUUUAGUCUCCAUGUGCCUCAGUUGCCUUGUCAGGGAACAGGUGACUGCCACAUGCUUUCCAGGAGUGCUCGGGCUUAAAUGAGCACAGGUGUGACAUGCUCACACAUCGCGGGCAAGCAGUGAAUGUGCGGUCCCUCCUCCCAGGGAGAUGCCAAAAUGUACACAUGUUAAAAGAUUUUAGAAAAGACAGAAUAAGGACACAAAGAACUUUAAGCACAUUUUGAACUCUAGUUGUUAAGUUUAUGUUUUGAAGAGGCCUGGGUGAGCAAUUGUGAGACUAGUUUUUGUGUAUUCUUGGAUCGGUCAAAGAGAUACAUGGUGUAUCAUGGGAGCCAGAUUUCUCACUGUCAAAGAAGAGAGCACAGAUAUGAAAAGGGAGAAAGAUAAACACCAUGACGUUAGGUUGGAAUUAGAGCUAUGGGUAUGAGCUCAUCCUUUUUCACAUGUCUAUAACAAUGGAUACAGAAGUGUGUGGAUACAUAUGUAUGUGUAUGCAAGCACCCAGAUGUUUGCAUGUACACGUGUACUCCUGAUCCGCACCCUCAUAACCUGACUGCCAGUGGCACUGAGCACACCUAGUCCCCAGAUCUUAGCUUCUAACUACCAUUCUCCACUAAAAAGAACCAGGACUUUUUGGAGAAAUAGGUGGUACCAGGGCUGAGUCAGGGAAGUACAAGAUAGCCUUGAACUGGAACAGCUAAUGGCACUAAAAAAGUAAGUACAUACAAAAUUAUGGUGCCAUGACAAAACAGAAACCAGACUGAAGGGACUCUCUGGACAAAUCUGGGGCAAUCUGAGUAUUAAAACAAAUAAGGACACUGAAGGAUUAUAAUCCACUGGAGUACAUAAACAUAGAGGAAUCCAUGCUGUUACAAAUCCACAAGUACUAAUGCAUAUACAGUAUACAUACAUAAUGAGGAGAGAGCUUUUUCUUAAAAGAACAAGACAGUUAACAAGUGUAGAAAUAAUAAAAUGAGAAAAACAUCACUGGAGAGCUGUUCCUAAUAAAAGACUCAGGCAGGAAUCAUCAGGGGACAUUAAAGCUAGUGGGUUAACGUUUACUUUGAGGGAUAGUGGGGUAUUUACGUCAUCUCAGAGUAUCUCCCCUUAAAAUGUUCUUAAUUACAACGAGAAAAAUCCUUUUAGUGGAGAAACCUGGGAAUUAUCAGCUUAACCUAGUGAUCAGAGUUCCUAUCACUGGUUAUGAGUGGGCAUCUCAUGCCUCCUGAAAUGAUGUACUGAAGAGAAAAAAAACACAUUUCUUUGGUGUUCCUACAAAAAAUGCAUAGUCCCAAUUCUACCAUGAGGAAACAUCAGGGAAACCCAAACCAAGGGACAUUCUACAUAAUAAAUGACCAAACUCUUAAAAAAUGAAACUGGAGGCUAAUGAGCCAUGACAACUGAAUGCAAUGACAUGACCUGGGCUUUUCAUCUGCUAUACAGGACAUUUCUGGGAUAAAGGGUGAAAUCUGAAUAGGGUCUUCAGAUUGAGUGAUAAUAGGUAUCUUUGUUAACUUCCUAAUUUUGAUAACUAUACUGCGUGUGUGUGUCUGUGGAUAGGUUCUUGUUUAGGAAAUAUAUACUGAAAUAUUUAGGGAUAAAGAUGCAUCAUGCCAGUCAAUCUCAGACUGUUCAGAAAAACUGUGGGUAUGAAAAAAGCAAAUGAGAUAAAAUAUUAAUAUCUGGGGAAUCUGGUUGAAGAGUAUAUAGAAAUUCUUUGUACUAAUCAUUUUUCUGUAACUCUGGAAUUAUUUCAAAAACAAAAGACUUUAAGUGGUUUUAAGGGGGCAAAAAGCAAAGAUUUAAGUUUUCAAAUGGAAAAUGCUCAUUUUGUGAGCAUAUGUACCAAUAGGAAAUUUAUAUAUUCAGUAACUAUAUUAUGAAUAAUCCUGAAAUGACUACUCAGCUCCCAGAUCCCUAUGUGAUUAAUUUGCAUUUACAUAUGCUUUUCUGUAGUUAUAGUGACAGUAGUUUCUUGGGUACCCCUGCACCUCUCUUCUGUCACAGUUUACUACUCAUCGAGUGGCUACAAUGUGCAGGUUCUGUGCUAGCUGUGUUACAUAAACUAGCUCUUUUAGUCCCACAAUGAUGCAGUGAUGUACUUAUUAUUGUACCCAUUUCACAAAUGAGCAACGCAAGUUCAGAGGACUGAAGUGACUAUACCAAGAUUACAGGACUACUAAGCAGCAGUAAUUUAAUCAGAACCCAGAUCUGACUCUUGCACCCAGGCUCUGAACACCUUCACCAUACACUCGAAGGGGGAUAUUCUUACACCUAAUGCCUGAUACUGUCUGCAGUGAAGACAUCCACAGGCUGGAACCAGAUGAAAGAUCUCCAUUCCGGUUACUUAGGAUGGGACCAAGAGAUGCUCAACAGCCCAGCAGACAGAAGACCCCAAGCCACGUUCAUGUCAAAUCACGUGCGAUCCCAUCUCUGCCACCCCAAGUUUUGUUUCUUAAAACAAAGUGGCACUGGUGACCCCUGCAGAGAAUCAACGGGCACUCCAAACACCUCCUGGCCGAACAGCAGCAGAGUCAAGGUCCACCCAAGGCCAAGGGCUGAGACAUUAGAGAGCCUGCGCCUCCCUGCUGAGGCCGGCUGCCACACUCACCACAGAUAAAGCACGUGGUCUUUAAGAUCUCCUCCUUCUUCUGCUUUUCACUCCUCAGGUCAGCAAAGGUGUCAAUGAUGACCCCAAAAAUCAGAUUAAGGACGAUGAUGAUGACCAUGAAGAAGAACAAGAGGUCAUAGAUUACUCUGGCAGCAAACAGGGGCUCCUGGAAAAGAGGUGUCAUAAUCAGUAAUGUGACGCCAGUGUCCUUUGGUCCACAGAGCUCAGGGGAGGAGGAGGACUCGAUGCACCCGACAUUCAGGGCUCACCCUCACCCUACCGCUCUGCUCUAUCACAGGUUAAACUGGGCAUCAAACUUGGAAAGUUAUAACUGUGUCCCUCCUCACACCCUUUGUCCAGACUGCCGGUUCUGCAAGUGUUGUGUGGCAUGGGCAUAAGAGCAGCCGUCAGGGAGAUGUGUUGGGGCAGGCCGGACCCAGCCCUGCACGAGCAUUCCAGUGCACGGCAUGGGGCACCAAAGCUGCCCCUGCCCACACAGCGCUUUCCCUGCACGGCCAACACUAAGGGCAUGGAUGCAGAGGAGAGAAGCCUCAACUAGGUGUUUCUGCACGGCUCCUAAUCACUACUCCAGCUCUGCCCUGUCUCUGGAUUACACACAAGCUCUCUGAAUGGUGCUCCCCAUCCCCUCCCAGCUUUGCCUUCCCCUCAGGAUCCAGCAACCUCCCCCCGCCCCACCCCCAGGCCACCCUCCGCUCUGCCUUCCCCCGGGAUCCAGCUACCUCUUUGGAUGGCUUCCUGAGCACAUCUCCUACUCCACCCCCGCUCCUCAGCCCAUGACUCAGCACUGUGACAAUGCACAUCAGAAGAGUCUCACACGUGUGCUCUUUGUCUUGCUCCGUCUCUUCUGCAAGGACCAGUUCUAUGAACGUGGUGAGAAACAACAGCAUGUGGGAAAAGACAUACCAUCAUUUUGAGACUGAAUAAAGAGUAGAACUAAGGAAUCAGUUGUCAAAUAUUUUUUCCAAAAAUUUGAAGUUAUCUGGGGGCAAUUCUGUUUUCAUCACCAGCCCUUGCUAGAUCCUCAAGCCAAGUCAUAAGUGCCCUUCCCUGUAUCAAAUCUACAAUAUUUCCAAUCCUUCUCAGAAUUCAAACCCCAGUUCCAGCUCUAAACAGGCGUUUGACCUUAGAUAAGUUGCUUAAUACUCUUGAGUCACGAGCAUGUCAUCUCUCAGCUGAGGGUAAUCCCACAGGACCCAAGCUCCUCACUGGUUAAAUCCAGCAAUGUUUUACAGCAGGUCCUCUGGACAAAUUACUUUACAUUGGACGGCGAACAUUCAUUCGUAAUCAUUACUGGAGGAAGAACCAUGUCUUGCCGCCUACCUUGUUCUUUUCUCCAGAUGCAGCGAUAAUGGUCUCGCUAAAAACACCAAUCACUCCUGGCUUUCAACAACUUCAUUUCUCCUUUGGAUGUAGUUUAACCUUUUUAGCCUAACGUGUAAGAUCCUUCACGACCUGGCCUUCGAAUGACCCAUCUGGCUUCAUUUUUACUACUACUCUUCCUCAUGAUCAUUAUCUCUCUCAACACGGUAGAUUCCACCUCUAACUGGAAUACCUACCCCUCCUCCUUUGUCCAAGAUUUUACCAUUUUAGUUCAGCUAUCACCUCCUUGGUGGUACUUUUACUCCAGUAUCAGGCUGGGUGCCCAUCUUCUGCAUUCCAUCCUUAUUCCUAGCAUUUGGCACACUCUAGGUGCCCACCUGCCUGCCUCCCCCACCACACUGGGAUAUCUUAGAAAACAGCACAGUCCCUGGUAACUCGAGGGCACCCAGGAAAUAGUGGCUGAAUUAAUCAAGCAGAUAUUUUCUUUCCAUGUAGACUUUUUUCCAUUCCAUCUCCCUUCUUUCUCUCCCAGUCUUUCCCCUUUCCUAUUGGCCUUACUUUUCAAGAGUAAAUCUGCUUCCAUCUGUUUUCAAUGUCAUGAGCGCCAUCUCAGCUGCCAGAGGAGCCUGUCAUUAAAGUGGGGCUUAAGGCUAACGGUCCUACCUUCUUUGGGUGCAGGAGAGGAGCAGUUCUCCCCAGUCUCCACCCUACACACGUCAGAGUACAGAAACUCGCUUGCCAAACUCUCGCCGGCUUCUGGGAGAGAGAGGAAAUUUUAUGAUGAACAAUCUGGCAGCAUAUGGUUAAAAUGUUUGAAGUCCCUAAUUCACGGCUGAUUAAACAAUUCUUUACAUAAAUAACACCCUACAUUCCUGCAUAUAAAUUCAAGCAGAGAUGCAAUUUACACUUUCAUUUGGUGAUCUGGAUGGGAAAGAAGCCAGAAAUGUCAAUUCCUGUAGGCUUACUAGAAAUAUCGCACUUAAAUAGCACCUCUCCAACUUUAAAGACACACAGCUGAAACUCUCCGAUAAAUACUACAGAGCGUACAGACUUCAGCGAGAUUUACACCAAGUCUGCACGGAAAGCAUCAGCAGGCAUGAGCGGAAAUCCAAGGUCCAGACCAGUUUAGUUCAGAACCCUAAGAUGGUUGGCAGGAAAUUUCAUUCAGUGUCAACUUGGAAGCUGGAAUUACAUGCCAAGAACGCAGCAUUUAGGACAAGGCUGCCUGGCCCAGCGGGCGAUAAUAAUUCUACUUUGUUCCUUGGACUCAAGGCCUCUGGCUACCUGUUAAACUAGUAACAUUUCACUCAGCGGUAUUAAAAUAUUUUAAUUGACACAAAGGAACACUUGGGUGUCACUCACUGACACUUGGGUGUUUCAUUCUCAAAACUGUUCUUGCUCUACAUAAAAACAAUACAUGCUGUCAACCUUGCAUAUAGAAGACAAACCCCAGAGACAGCCACUACUGGGCGGGGUCCAUAUUUUAAAGGACAUAUUUGAGCUUUAUUUUAAAGGACAUAUGUGAGCUUUUUAAUUUUUAAAAAAUAUAGACAGAUCCUAUUAUAGUUAUUAUUCUGCAGCUUGCCACCACAUCUUUGUGGCUGCUUUUCCAUGAAGGUGUAUAACGAUGUGCCCUAAGCGCAGGGCGAGCCACCUCAGAAGACUGCAGUCUAAUGAGACACUUGAUGUUUACACCGCUUCCGGUUUCACAAUGGAGUCAACAUCCCUCCAUACACAUCGUUUUUGCAUGCAGAGGCGGAACUUUUCCUUUAAGGAUCAAUUCCUAGAAGUAGAUUUACCAACCCUCCUAUCUUUCGAUGUAUAUGGUCAAAUUGUUUUUGAAUAAGUCAUAUUAGUUUAAAAUAUGACUUCAGGGAAUAAAUUAAGUGUAGGCUCUGGACACUCCCACUCAGGAUUCAAUAUACCCUACUACCCUUUGAACAAAGCGAGGACGAAGUCCUCUAUUCAGAAUUCAUGCUCUCAGUGCUAGGGAGAUACCUACAUUGCUAAUGUCAACAUUUUCUUUAGUUCACUUACAAUUAAGUAAUAUUCUUUUAACAUUAAAAAAAUGAUGAGAAGACUCAAACUCACCUGGAAGAGCUGUUUCAUUGGGCAACCUGUCUACUUCCAAGAUAAAAUCAUCUUUGAAGAAAAGAUAGCCCACUAUUGAGAACAGGUAAACCAAGAUCAAAGCCAGAACUGCUGUCAAGAUGAUGGACCGUCCAUUGCGAGUCACACUUUUAAUGACGUUAAGCAGAGUCUCUUCUCUGUAUACCAAAUCAAAAAGCUUUAAAAACAAAGAAGACAAGAGGACAGUUUUAAGAAGCCUCUAUAGUAGAUGUGUGUGUGUAUGUAUGUAUGUAGAUUAUGUAUUUCAUAACAACAACUUGAUUUAUAGAGAAUUUACCCUUUUAAAAACUCAGAAGCAUUCUACUACUACCUUAAUACUACUCCAACUUUUAAGUACUAAAGUACUCCAACUAUUAAGUACUAAAGUACUUUAUACUUCCCUUAGUGAAAAUUUCAUGGGGAGAAAUAAGCAUAGGAAAGGAGGGCAGGAAGCAGAGGUGCUGGGGAGGGAGCAAAUACAGGGUGAUACCCAUGACUUUCAGCAGGCAAGGGAGAGGAAAGUGAUGAGCAUGCGUUCAUGUAGGGAGUAGUUACUGAGCUUCUGCUAAGGGCUGGCCACUCUGGAAGCAGGACAGGGCAAGCCCUGGUCCUUGUCCUCCCGGGGCUCAGAGCCUCACAGGGAAAACCACACCCAACGGGGCAGUGCAAGCAGAGGGGACUCUGGAGUUAAGAGGUACAAAUCUUAGCUCAACCACACGACAUCACACAGUAGGCUAGGUUCUUUUUCCUUCCCUCUGAGUCUCCGUUUCCUCAUCUCCAGACACGAGGACAGGGAGUUGUAGUGAACAAGAGCUAUGUGAUGCAUAUACUGUGUACAGUACCAUCCGUAUGGCCAACCUUACAUGCUGAGUGUCUCACAGUAAAUGGUCACUGUAAUUUCCUGAUGAAGGGACUGGGCCAAGGUCCCACAGCUCCUUGCAGGGUCACUGAUGGUGGUAAUACAAGAGGAAGCCUAAACCUUUCCCAUCUUUCUGGUGGGGGCCGGGGGUGGGGUGUGGUGAAAGACCUGACUAUUGGUUCACAGUCUAGGCUUGCCCUCUGCCAAGAGACUUGCUCUGUGCAAGAAGUUGGACUGUAGGUACUUCUGGGUAUGGGGGGACUGAUGGCUGGUUUUUUCAGGUAUUUGGCUGGAGGAAGAAUACAGAGACGUAGAGGAGAAUUCUGUGGGCUAAUUCUUGGACCUGGGGGCUAGUUUUAAUCUGGCCUCUGUGCUGACAUUGGUUGGAUUUUCUGAAGGUUCUGCCUCUUCGUGGCUUUGGGGAAUGAAUGCACAGCCAAGUGAGUCAGGGGACAAUGGUUUGAAUCCUCACUCUGCUUUUAAUUUGUAGCAAGAUUUUGGUUGAGGUCUGUAACCUCUCUGGACCUCAGUUUCCUCAUCUGUAAAAUCAGCAGAUGAAACAGCUGAUCUCUAAGUCCCUUCCAAUUUAUAGUUUGACAUAUGAAUUAAUUUUCUGGUCAAUUAGCCCUUCUGCCUCCAUAACGCCAAUCUGUGUCCUGAGACCUGUGUGGAGGGCACCGGGUGAAGGAGGGUACUUAACAGGAAGGAAACGAGGAGGGGGUGUUUCAUCAGUUGAAGAGUACAAAAGGCUAAGGUUGCUGUAAACGUUGGUUAAAUAUUUUCCAGCAAGCCACUAUGAAGCAGUAAGUGAGAGCAACUUCAGAUAGUCAACAAGUGACACUUUAUUCCUAGGGGGCGGGUAAAGAACUCUAAAAUUAUAUAGCUACCAAGUCCGUGAAACAAGUGAUUUUUUUUUCCCCCACUCAUCUAUGCUUUCUGGCUUUGAAACAAUGGUUAUGCAUUACUUUAUAAAGGAAAAACUAUCUUCUAAUUAGAAAAUUACACAUGUUCAAUGGAGAAAACUUUGAAAACACAGAAAAGCACACAGAAAAACAAAAAUCACCAUAAGUCCACCACCUAGAGACAUCGACUUAUGUUCUCUCCUUCUGCCUUUAUUACAUUAGAAAAAAUGUAGUAUAUAUAAUAUACCAUAAUACUGGCAUACAUUCAGCCUCUUUCACCAAGCAAUCCUGAACAUUUUCACAUCAUAAAGAAUCACCUAGAAUGUUAGUGUAUGGAAAAACUACAGUUUACUUAACCAAAAUACUUAAUUUUUUAAAAACAGCCAAGAUGUUUUCAAUUGCAUGUCAUUAAAAAUAACGCUGUGAUGAA